rnacentral:rRNA from 1 species
CUGGCAACAUCGGUCCAAUCCUUAAAGUCAUCCUCAGUUCGGACUGGGGUCUGNAACCCGACCCCACGAAGCUGGAUUCGCUAAUAAUCGCGCAUCAGCCAUGGCGCGGUGAAUACGUUCCCGGGCCUUGUACACACCGCCCGUCACACCAUGAGAGUUGGGGAUACCCGAAGCCUGUGAGCUAACUUUUAGAGGCAGCAGUCGAAGGUAGAAUCAAUGAUUGGGGUGAAGUCGUAACAAGGUAAC